UGGGGAAUUUUGCACAAUGGGGGAAACCCUGAUGCAGCGACGCCGCGUGAUUUAGAAGGCCUUCGGGUUGUAAAAAUCUUUUGUAUGGGAAGAAAAUGACAGUACCAUACGAAUAAGGACCGGCUAAUUACGUGCCAGCAGCCGCGGUAAUACGUAAGGUCCGAGCGUUGUCCGGAAUCAUUGGGCGUAAAGGGUACGUAGGCGGAUAAGCAAGUUAGAAGUGAAAUCCUAUAGCUCAACUAUAGUAAGCUUUUAAAACUGCUCAUCUUGAGGUAUGGAAGGGAAAGUGGAAUUCCUAGUGUAGCGGUGAAAUGCGCAGAUAUUAGGAGGAAUACCGGUGGCGAAGGCGACUUUCUGGCCAUAUCCUGACGCUGAGGUACGAAAGCGUGGGUAGCAAACAGG
rnacentral:rRNA from 1 species